UACGGAGGGUGCAAGCGUUAUCCGGAUUCACUGGGUUUAAAGGGUGCGUAGGUGGGUUGGUAAGUCAGUGGUGAAAUCCCCGAGCUUAACUUGGGAACUGCCAUUGAUACUAUCAGUCUUGAAUACCGUGGAGGUUAGCGGAAUAUGUCAUGUAGCGGUGAAAUGCUUAGAUAUGACAUAGAACACCAAUUGCGAAGGCAGCUUACUACACAGUAAUUGACACUGAGGCACGAAAGCGUGGGGAUCAAACAGG
rnacentral:rRNA from 1 species